GGGAUGUAGCUCAGUUGGUAGAGCGCUUGCCUUGAAAGCACAAGACCCUGGAUUCAAUCCCCAGCACCACCCA
rnacentral:tRNA from 1 species